rnacentral:SRP_RNA from 1 species
GCCGGGCAUGGUGGCGCGAGCCUGUAAUCCCAGCUACUCAGGAGGCUGAGGCAGGAGAAUCACUUGAACCCGGGAGGUGGAGGUUGCAGUGAGCCAAGAUCGCACCACUGCACUCCAGCCUGGGUGACAGAGUGAGACUCUGUCUCAA